AAAUCAGCGCACAAUUUUGAAAUACUGACUUGUGGUCUGAAGACCAACGGACGGCAGUCUGUGAGCAUCUACAUGUUUGUUCCCAUUCGCUCGGUUGUCCCGAGUGUGCUGCACAUGUUCACAACACUCUUGGUGCCAUUGAGAUGGAACGCACAUCUGACGGCGCAUUCUGACAG